rnacentral:lncRNA from 12 species
GUGAGACUCACUGGCCACUUUGACACCCAAAAGGGAGAUUGAUUUGACGUGAUUCUCAGGAAGCAGUUGGAUUCCACAGUUAACCCUGCUUCAGUUUAGUGCUUCAGUAGGAGGGAUCAAAUACCACAGAAAAGUCAAUUUUAGCAUGCAGGCUGGCACCUUGUACUCAGGGAAUCCUGUAGCAUCACCUUCCGAAAAAGAGCAUGGUCUGGGACAUACCUCCUCAUAGGAAGGAAAGUACUUAUUACUGGUUUAUGAGGAGCAGCAAGCAAUCCCAAUACUCCAGCUGAAAAAGGAAGAAGUCUGUCAUGGCCUCUGCAGCACAACCAGUAUUUCAAGACUCAACCCGUUGAUAGACAUGAGAAAAGGCUGGAAUAAUAUGGCACCACUCCUGCAUGCAUUUUCAGUAGUUGACAACAAUGAAUGUCAUAUGAGCAUUUAAAUGAAAUGAAAAUAAAUCUCCA